rnacentral:tRNA from 1 species
GGGCCCGUAGCCUAGUGGUAAGGCGCACGGCUUUGCAGGCCGUGCUUACACGAGUUCGAAUCUCGUCGGGCCCUCCA